AGUCUCGGGGUGGUGCACCCACGUUUGAUUGCAAAUCUUAAGAGGCAGGUUAGAGUCCUGCCGAGGCUU
rnacentral:tRNA from 1 species